rnacentral:piRNA from 1 species
UGGGUAAGUCAAGCGCUCAUGGUCAGCUA